AGUCGAACGGCAGCAUGGAGAGCUUGCUCUCUGAUGGCGAGUGGCGAACGGGUGAGUAAUAUAUCGGAACGUGCCUAGUAGUGGGGAACAACCAGCCGAAAGGUUGGCUAAUACCGCAUACGACCUACGGGUGAAAGCAGGGGAUCUUCGGACCUUGCGCUAUUAGAGCGGCCGAUAUCUGAUUAGGUAGUUGGUGGGGUAAAGGCCUACCAAGCCGACGAUCAGUAGCUGGUCUGAGAGGACGAUCAGCCACACUGGAACUGAGACACGGUCCAGACUCCUACGGGAGGCAGCAGUGGGGAAUUUUGGACAAUGGGGGAAACCCUGAUCCAGCCAUUCCGCGUGAGUGAAGAAGGCCUUCGGGUUGUAAAGCUCUUUCGCAAGGGAAGAAAUUUUAUUGUCGAAUAAACAGUAAAGAUGACGGUACCUUGAGAAGAAGCACCGGCUAACUACGUGCCAGCAGCCGCGGUAAUACGUAGGGUGCGAGCGUUAAUCGGAAUUACUGGGCGUAAAGCGUGCGCAGGCGGUUUUGUAAGUCAGAUGUGAAAUCCCCGAGCUUAACUUGGGAACUGCGUUUGAAACUACAAGACUAGAGUGUGUCAGAGGGGGGUAGAAUUCCACGUGUAGCAGUGAAAUGCGUAGAGAUGUGGAGGAAUACCAAUGGCGAAGGCAGCCCCCUGGGAUAACACUGACGCUCAUGCACGAAAGCGUGGGGAGCGAACAGGAUUAGAUACCCUGGUAGAAGGGC
rnacentral:rRNA from 1 species